rnacentral:rRNA from 1 species
AUGUUCCACGAACUUGGUGGAGGCUUGAAAGGCUGCUGUGGUUUUUAUCGAAGCAUACAACGCAGUCAGAUGGGACUUUCACUAAAUAUCGAUACUUCCUAUAAAGCAUUCAUCAAGCCUCAACUCGUGAUUGAUUUUGUUGCCGAGCUUCUUUGCAGACGCAUCUCCGAUGGCCCCAUAAAUUAUAUUGAACGCCUGAAGAUCGCGAAAGCUUUGCAUGGUAUAAAGGUUUAUGUCACACAUAGGGGCGAUGUGCGUAAGAAGUACCGUAUAUCUGGCCUUUCAUCAGAAGGGGCAAGCAAGCUAUCUUUUCCAGUUGGUGAUCAUGGAACUCAGAAGACAGUAAUGCAAUACUUCCAGGAGAAACAUGGCUAUGAUAUUCAGCAUUUUGUUUUGCCUUGCUUGCAAGUUGGUAAUCAGCAGAGGCCAAAUUACCUGCCAAUGGAGGUCUGUAAGAUAGCCGAGGGACAACACUACAGAGAACAGUUAAAUGAGGAACAGUUAUCUGCUCUUCGUGAAGUUACUUGCCAGCGCCCCAUAGAGAAGGAACUGGCCAUUUUACAGACUUCAAAAUUAUACAAUGCGGACCCAUAUACAAAGGAAUUUGGCAUAACUUUUUAUAACAAACUCACAACAGUUGAAGGUCGUGUGCUACCUCCUCCUUACCUUAAAUUUCUUGAUCGCACUGGCAAAAAUGAUGUAUUAGUGUUACCAAAAGUCGGCAAGUGGGAUAUGUGGUGCAAGAAAAUGGUCAAUGGAGGAGUAGUUAACACCUGGGCAUGCAUUAACUUUGCUUGGGAAGUCACAGAUGCUCAUGCUCUGAAUUUUUGUGAUGAGUUGGUGCUGAUGUGCAAUGUAUCCGGGAUGGACUUCAGGCCUGAACCUGUGCUCCCUGUAGCAGCUUAUGACCCUAAAUCCGUAGCACGGUCACUCAAGAAACACCAUAAACGUGUCAUGAACAUACUUGGACCACGGCGCCAAAAACUCGACCUGCUGAUUCUAAUAUUGCCUGACAAUAAUGGCACUCUUUAUGGUGACAUCAAAAGAAUAUUGGAGACAGAUAUUGGAGUGGUCUCUCAAUGUUGUCUUGCAAAACAUGUUUUUAUGCCAAAAAAACAGUAUUUUGCGAAUGUUGCCCUUAAAAUUAAUGUUAAGGCCGGAGGGAGAAAUACGGUACUUGUUAGUGCUUUGGAGAGGAAACUCCCCCGUAUUGGUAAAAUACCGACUAUCAUAUUUGGCGCUGAUGUUAGUCAUCCACAUCCUGGAGAAGGAUGUUCUAGUCCUUCCAUUGCAGCUGUUGUUGCUUCUCAAGACUGGCCUGAGAUUACCAAGUAUGCUGGAUUAGUCAGUCCACAAACCCAUCGGGAAGAAGUCAUAAAUAACCUUUUUAAUGAAGAAACUGGUGGAAUGAUCAAAGAGCACCUCAUUUCUUUCAGGAGGGCAACUGGAUGCAUACCUGGGAGAAUCAUAUUUUACAGGGAUGGUGUCAGCAAUGGACAGCUUAAUCAGGUUUUGGAUGUUGAACUUCCUGCCAUAAAAAAGGCCUGUGCAUCCCUGGACCCUUGCUAUAGCCCACGAGUUACCUUUGUUGUCGUUCAGAAACGUCAUCAUACCCGUCUGUUUUCUGAUAACUAUGAUGUUGUGAGUACAAUUUAUGGAAGUGGAAAUGUACUACCUGGUACAGUGAUUGAUAAAGAAGUAUGCCAUCCCACUGACUUUGAUUUUUAUUUGUGUAGCCAUGCUGUCACUAAGGGAGUGAGCCGACCUGUGCGUUAUCAUGUUCUGUGGGAUGAAAACAAGUUUACGGCUAACGCUUUGCAAACGCUCACAAACCACCUAUGCUACGCGUAUGCGAGAUGCACCUCUUCUGUUUCAGUUGUGCCUCCUGUCUACUAUGCACAUCUUUUGGCUUCGCGGGGACGACUUUAUAUCAAACGAGGGCAUGAGGGAUCCUUUCCCGUUCUCAGUGAAAAUGUGAAAGGUGUUAUGUUUUUCUGCUAA